rnacentral:rRNA from 1 species
GACGAACGCUGGCGGCGUGCUUAACACAUGCAAGUCGAACGGAAAGGCCCUUCCGGGGGUGCACGCGUGGGGAACGGGUGGGUAAGACGUACGUAACUUGCCCACACUUUUGGGUUAAAGAAAGGCAACUGGUGGUAGCAAUGACUGGGUAGUCGUGCCUCAUGGUGGGGGUUGGAAGGCACGGUCGGUUGUGGGUGGAUUGGCGGCCUUCCAGCUUGUUGGUGGGGUGGUGGCCUACCAAGGAGGGGACGGGUAGCCGGCCUGGGAGGGUGACCGGCCACAAUGGGACUGAGAUACGGCCCAGACCCCUACGGGGGGGAGCAGUGGGGGAUAUUGCACAAUGGGCGCAAGGCUGAUGCAGCAACGCCGCGUGGGGGAAGACGGGCUUCGGGUUGGAAACCGCUUUCAGCAGGGACGAAGCUGUUUGUGACGGUACCUGCAGAAGAAGCACCGGCUAACUACGUG